GACGAACGCUGGCGGCGUGCUUAACACAUGCAAGUGGAGCGACGAACCAGGCUUCGGCCUGGGGCAGAGCCGCGAACGGGUGAGUAACACGUGGGUAACCUGCCCUGAUGAUCGGGACAACCCGGGAAACCCGGGCUAAUACCGAAUGUGCCCGCGAGCCGCAAGGCUUGCGAGGAAAGGAAGCUUCGGCCUCCGCAUCGGGAUGGGCCCGCGGCCCAUUAGCUUGUUGGUGGGGUAACGGCCUACCAAGGCAGCAAUGGGUAGCUGGUCUGAGAGGACGAUCAGCCACACUGGGACUGAGACACGGCCCAGACUCCUACGGGAGGCAGCAGUGGGGAAUCUUGCGCAAUGCGCGAAAGCGUGACGCAGCAACGCCGCGUGGGGGAAGACGGCCU
rnacentral:rRNA from 1 species